rnacentral:lncRNA from 1 species
UGUAAUGCAGACGUACAGGGAGAAAUCUCCACAGUCAUCCUGUGCUUGUAUCAGGUAGGAAGAAUAAAAAGAAGAUGAGAAAAUUGCUCUCUGUGCUGACAAACUCCUUCUUCCCCACGAGUGUGGAAAGGAAGGAGAUGAAGGGCUUCCAACAGGAGGGAAAAUUAGAGGCAGUGAGAUCAGAGAUCAGGGUGAAAAGCUGCCUGUGAAGGCUAAUUCGAUAUAUUUUUGUCCACCUGUUAAACUUGAUAGAGAGU